GAGUUUGAUCGUGGCUCAGGAUGAACGCUGGCGGCGUGCCUAAUACAUGCAAGUCGAGCGAACGGACGAGAAGCUUGCUUUCUCUGAUGUUAGCGGCGGACGGGUGAGUAACACGUGGAUAACCUACCUAUAAGACUGGGAUAACUUCGGGAAACCGGAGCUAAUACCGGAUAAUAUUUUGAACCGCAUGGUUCAAAAGUGAAAGACGGUCUUGCUGUCACUUAUAGAUGGAUCCGCGCUGCAUUAGCUAGUUGGUAAGG
rnacentral:rRNA from 1 species